GACGAACGCUGGCGGCGUGCUUAACACAUGCCAGUCGAACGGAAAGGCCCUGCUUUUGUGGGGUGCUCGAGUGGCGAACGGGUGAGUAACACGUGAGUAACCUGCCCUUGACUUUGGGAUAACUUCAGGAAACUGGGGCUAAUACCGGAUAGGAGCUCCUGCUGCAUGGUGGGGGUUGGAAAGUUUCGGCGGUUGGGGAUGGACUCGCGGCUUAUCAGCUUGUUGGUGGGGUAGUGGCUUACCAAGGCUUUGACGGGUAGCCGGCCUGAGAGGGUGACCGGCCUCAUUGGGACUGAGAUACGGCCCAGACUCCUACGGGAGGCAGCAGUGGGGAAUAUUGCACAGUGGGCGGAAGCCUGAUGCAGCAACGCCGCGUGCGGGAUGACGGCCUUCGGGUUGUAAACCGCUUUCGCCUGUGACGAAGCGUGAGUGACGGUAAUGGGUAAAGAAGCACCGGCUAACUACGUG
rnacentral:rRNA from 1 species